CAUGACUCUCGGCAACGGAUAUCUCGGCUCUCGCAUCGAUGAAGAACGUAGCAAAAUGCGAUACCUGGUGUGAAUUGCAGAAUCCCGCGAACCAUCGAGUUUUUGAACGCAAGUUGCGCCCGAGGCCUUCUGGCCGAGGGCACGCCUGCCUGGGCGUCACGC
rnacentral:rRNA from 1 species